rnacentral:rRNA from 1 species
AGGGAUUACCUCAGUAACGGCGAGUGAAGCGGUAACAGCUCAAAUUUGAAAUCUGGCUCUUUCAGGGUCCGAGUUGUAAUUUGUAGAAGAUGCUUUGGGCAUUGCUCCGGUCUAAGUUCCUUGGAACAGGACGUCAUAGAGGGUGAGAAUCCCGUAUGUGACUGGUGGCAUUUGUCCGUGUAAAGCUCUUUCGACGAGUCGAGUUGUUUGGGAAUGCAGCUCAAAAUGGGUGGUAUAUUUCAUCUAAAGCUAAAUAUUGGCCAGAGACCGAUAGCGCACAAGUAGAGUGAUCGAAAGAUGAAAAGCACUUUGGAAAGAGAGUUAAACAGUACGUGAAAUUGUUGAAAGGGAAGCGCUUGCAACCAGACUUGCAGGUCGUUGAUCAUCCGGGGUUCUCCCCGGUGCACUCGGCGGCUUUCAGGCCAGCAUCGGUUUGAGUGGUGGGAUAAAGGCCUUGGGAAUGUGGCUCCUCUCGGGGAGUGUUAUAGCCCAAGGUGCAAUGCCGCCUAUUCGGACCGAGGACCGCGCUUCGGCUAGGAUGCUGGCGUAAUGGUUGUAAGCGACCCGUCUUGAAACACGGACCAAGGAGUCUAACAUCUAUGCGAGUGUUUGGGUGUCAAACCCAUACGCGUAAUUAACGUGAACGGAGGUAAGAACCCUUAAGGGUGCAUUAUCGACCGAUCCUGAUGUCUUCGGAUGGAUUUGAGUAAGAGCAUAGCUGUUGGGACCCGAAAGAUGGUGAACUAUGCCUGAAUAGGGUGAAGCCAGAGGAAACUCUGGUGGAGGCUC